rnacentral:rRNA from 1 species
UACGAAGGGGGCUAGCGUUGCUCGGAAUCACUGGGCGUAAAGCGCACGUAGGCGGGGCUUUAAGUCAGGGGUGAAAUCCUGGAGCUCAACUCCAGAACUGCCUUUGAUACUGAGGAUCUUGAGUUCGGGAGAGGUGAGUGGAACUGCGAGUGUAGAGGUGAAAUUCGUAGAUAUUCGCAAGAACACCAGUGGCGAAGGCGGCUAUCUGGACGGUUUCUGACACUAAGACACGAAAGCGUGGGGAGCAAACAGG